UGGGGAUAUUGGACAAUGGGCGCAAGCCUGAUCCAGCCAUCCCGCGUGAGUGAUGAAGGCCCUAGGGUUGUAAAGCUCUUUCACCGGUGAAGAUAAUGACGGUAACCGGAGAAGAAGCCCCGGCUAACUUCGUGCCAGCAGCCGCGGUAAUACGAAGGGGGCUAGCGUUGUUCGGAUUUACUGGGCGUAAAGCGCACGUAGGCGGACUUUUAAGUCAGGGGUGAAAUCCCGGGGCUCAACCCCGGAACUGCCUUUGAUACUGGAAGUCUUGAGUAUGGUAGAGGUGAGUGGAAUUCCGAGUGUAGAAGUGAAAUUCGUAGAUAUUCGGAGGAACACCAGUGGCGAAGGCGGCUCACUGGACCAUUACUGACGCUGAGGUGCGAAAGCGUGGGGAGCAAACAGG
rnacentral:rRNA from 1 species